UAGGGAAUCUUCGGCAAUGGGCGAAAGCCUGACCGAGCAACGCCGCGUGAAUGAAGAAGGCCUUCGGGUUGUAAAAUUCUGUUAUAAGGGAAGAAAGGUGAUAGGAGGAAAUGACUAUCAAUUGACGGUACCUUAUGAGAAAGCCACGGCUAACUACGUGCCAGCAGCCGCGGUAAUACGUAGGUGGCAAGCGUUAUCCGGAAUUAUUGGGCGUAAAGAGCGCGCAGGUGGUUAAUUAAGUCUGAUGUGAAAGCCCACGGCUUAACCGUGGAGGGUCAUUGGAAACUGGUUGACUUGAGUGCAGAAGAGGGAAGUGGAAUUCCAUGUGUAGCGGUGAAAUGCGUAGAGAUAUGGAGGAACACCAGUGGCGAAGGCGGCUUCCUGGUCUGCAACUGACACUGAGGCGCGAAAGCGUGGGGAGCAAACAGG
rnacentral:rRNA from 3 species